rnacentral:lncRNA from 1 species
ACUUGGGUUCGGUUUACCUUGUUACUAUUGGAAUGAUGGAAGUUGCUCUUCUUCCUCUUUGCGUUAGCGACUCUGAGCUCAUAGGGAGCUGGUAAUUUGCUUGGUUAGCUGGAGAAGGGAUAGAGUUGAAAGAUCGGAUUUUAUUAGCGCGCCUUCUGCCUGUCCUUUCCUGACUCUGUCGAUGGUAUGCCUGAGAUGGCAGUCUUUCUCCUUGGCUUGUACUCGAUAUUCCCUUUUAGUUCGAAAUCGAUAUCUUCCUAUUGCCUUUGAGAAAGGGAACGAAGGAAUUCCGUCUGUUGUCACAAGAAUAGUUCAAGUUGAAUGCGAAUAAUCGAUUGAAUCCGAUCUUUGAAGACUUGAAGGACUAGUGUCCAAUCCCGGCCGAUGUAGAGUAGUCCCUUUUGGGCAGCACUUCCUCGUAGGGAACUACCUAUUGUCCUUCUUUCUUGUGGUGGAACCUGGGAUUCACCCUCCCAGAAGUGAUUAUAGCCAAAACUAAAA